GACGAACGCUGGCGGCGUGCCUAACACAUGCAAGUCGAGCGGGGAUUUAAGUGGAAGUUCUUCGGAAUGGAGAUUUAAAUUCUAGCGGCGGACGGGUGAGUAACGCGUGAACAAUCUGUCCCGGACAGGGGGAUAACACUUGGAAACAGGUGCUAAUACCGCAUAAGACCACGGCCUCGCAUGGGGCUGAGGUAAAAGGAGCAAUCCGGUUCGGGGUGAGUUCGCGUCCGAUUAGCUAGUUGGCGAGGUAACGGCCCACCAAGGCGACGAUCGGUAGCCGGCCUGAGAGGGUGAACGGCCACGUUGGAUCUGAGAGGCGGUCGAAGCUCCUACGGGAGGCAGCAGGGGAGAAUAUUGGGCAAUGGGCGAGAGCCUGACCCAGCAACGCCGCGUGAGAGAAGAAGGUUUUCGGAUUGUAAGCCUCUGUCCUAUGGGACGAAGGAAGUGACGGUACCAUAGGAGGAAGCCCCGGCUAACUACGUG
rnacentral:rRNA from 1 species